rnacentral:misc_RNA from 1 species
AACGCACAUUGCGCCCGCCAGUAUUCUGGCGAGCAUGCCUGUUCGAGCGUCAUUACAACUAUCAAGCCUCUAGGCUUGUGUUGGGCCCUGCGGCUGCCCGCAGCUCCCUAAAAGUAGUGGCGGGCUCGCUGUCACACCGAGUGCAGUAGUUUCUCCUCGCAAGGUCGUUACAGCGGGCUCUAGCCGUAAAACACCCUAAACUUUAAGGUUGACCUCGGAUCAGGUAGGAAUACCCGCUGAACUUAA